rnacentral:rRNA from 1 species
CCUACGGGUGGCAGCAGUGAGGAAUAUUGGUCAAUGGGCGGGAGCCUGAACCAGCCAAGUCGCGUGAGGGAUGACGGUCCUACGGAUUGUAAACCUCUUUUGCCGGGGAGCAAGCGUGCGUUCGUGAACGCGCGUCGAGAGUACCCGGAGAAAAAGCAUCGGCUAACUCCGUGCCAGCAGCCGCGGUAAUACGGAGGAUGCGAGCGUUAUCCGGAUUUAUUGGGUUUAAAGGGUGCGUAGGCGGAAUGCCAAGUCAGCGGUAAAAUCGCGGGGCUCAACCUCGCUCCGCCGUUGAAACUGGCGUUCUUGAGUGGGCGAGAAGUAUGCGGAAUGCGUGGUGUAGCGGUGAAAUGCAUAGAUAUCACGCAGAACUCCGAUUGCGAAGGCAGCAUACCGGCGCCCAACUGACGCUGAAGCACGAAAGCGUGGGUAUCGAACAGGAUUAGAUACCCGAGUAGUC